CGACGAUUACAGUGAGGUCAGGCCGACGACUUUACCUGAUUUUCGUAGAGGUGGUGCAUGGCCGUCGUCAGUUCGUACCGUAAGGCGUUCUGUUAAGUCAGAUAACGAACGAGACCCUCGUCCUUAAUUGCCAACCCAUUCUCCGGGAGUGGGCGCACAUUAAGGGGACCGCUGGCGCUAAGGUCAGAGGAAGGAGAGGUCAACGGUAGGUCAGUAUGCCCCGAAUCUCCCGGGCUACACGCGCGCUACAAAGGACAGGACAAUGGGAUGCAAUACCGAGAGGUAACGCCAACCCGAAACCUGUUCGUAGUUCGGACUGAGGGCUGUAACUCGCCCUCACGAAGCUGGAUUCCGUAGUAAUCGCGGGUCAACAUCCCGCGGUGAAUAUGCCCUGCUCUUU
rnacentral:rRNA from 1 species